UCACCUCUCAACGGUUGCUUUCACCAGAGAGAGAGAGAGAGAGAGAGAGAGAGAGAGAGAGAGAGAGAGAUGCGUUCCUUUCUAUAUAUUCUGUUGUUGGUGGUGAUGGUGGUGGUGAGCAGCGGGAUGGAGAAGGAUGAAGAAGUGAAGGUGGAGGUGGAGGAAGGAAAGAAGGAAGAAGUGGAGGUAGGAAAGGAAGAGGAAGAGAAGAGCAGAGUAGAAGAUAUUGAAGAAGAAGAAGGUGAAGUAGAAGUAGAAGAGGAAGAAGAAGGAGAAUUUGAAGAUGAUUAUGAUAACAUGCGGAUUGACCAGGCGAGGGCGAAAUUAAAGAAAAAUAAAUGUGAGAAGAAGGAUGGAUAUUGUAAACUGCCUUCUAGAGGAUUGUGCAAGCCUGGUUACGCCCCUUCCAACAGCAGGACCUUCUGUGACACUAAGAGCGAGAUAUGUUGCCUGAAGACGAACAAGCGUAAGUGUGGGGUAAGCUCAGCCUGCAAGAAGAAGGGUGGCUGGUGCAUGCUGAAAACGGGAACCUGCUCUGGGAAAACUGAUAACACUACAGGGAUUUGUGGAUCUAAGCGAUGUACUUGUUGUUUAGAGGGAACAGGUAAGAGAGAGA